UGGGGAAUCUUGCGCAAUGGGCGAAAGCCUGACGCAGCAACGCCGCGUGGGGGAUGAAGGCUCUCGGGUUGUAAACCCCUUUCAGCAGGGACGAAUCUGACGGUACCUGCAGAAGAAGCCCCGGCCAACUACGUGCCAGCAGCCGCGGUAAUACGUAGGGGGCGAGCGUUGUCCGGAUUCAUUGGGCGUAAAGAGCUCGUAGGCGGCUUGCUCAGUCAGGUGUGAAACCUCCAGGCUCAACCUGGAGCCGCCACCUGAUACUGGUAUGGCUAGAGUCCGGUAGGGGACCACGGAAUUCCUGGUGUAGCGGUGAAAUGCGCAGAUAUCAGGAGGAACACCGGUGGCGAAGGCGGUGGUCUGGGCCGGUACUGACGCUGAGGAGCGAAAGCGUGGGGAGCAAACAGG
rnacentral:rRNA from 1 species